AAGUCGUAACAAGGUUUCCGUAGGUGAACCUGCGGAAGGAUCAUUAAUGAAAUGAUAAUUUUUUGGGGUUUUCCCUGAAAAAUAAUUCACCUUUUGUGCAUUGUUAAUAGAUAUACUUUGGUUAGAGCUUUGAUUUCAUUUAUUGGAAUCAACUUCUUGCUAACUCUAUCCUGUUAAGGACAGUUGGCUAUGAAGCGGCCUACCAAGGUUUUUUUAUCAAAUUCUUGUAUUUUGUCUGACCUAAACUAUUAUAAUUAAAUCAUAACUUUCAACAACGGAUCUCUUGGCUCUC
rnacentral:misc_RNA from 1 species